AAGAAGGUGGCAGAACGGUAAUGCGGUUGGCUUGAAACCAGCCUACGGGGGUUCGACUCCUCCCUUUCUCG
rnacentral:tRNA from 1 species